GACGAACGCUGGCGGCGUGCUUAACACAUGCAAGUCGAACGGAAAGGCCCUGCUUUUGUGGGGUGCUCGAGUGGCGAACGGGUGAGUAACACGUGAGUAACCUGCCCUUGACUUUGGGAUAACUUCAGGAAACUGGGGCUAAUACCGGAUAGGAGCUCCUGCUGCAUGGUGGGGGUUGGAAAGUUUCGGCGGUUGGGGAUGGACUCGCGGCUUAUCAGCUUGUUGGUGGUGUAGUGGCUUACCAAGGCUUUGACGGGUAGCCGGCCUGAGAGGGUGACCGGCCACAUUGGGACUGUGAUACGGCCCAGACUCCUACGGGAGGCAGCAGUGGGGAAUAUUGCACGAUGGGCGGAAGCCUGAUGCAGCAACGCCGCGUGCGGGAUGACGGCCUUCGGGUUGUAAACCGCUUUCGCCUGUGACGAAGCGUGAGUGACGGUAAUGGGUAAAGAAGCACCGGCUAACUACGUG
rnacentral:rRNA from 1 species